CCCCUAGACGUUCUGGGCUGCACGCGCGCUACAAUAAUACGCACAGCGAGUAUCACCGAGCUCGAAAGGGCAAGGUAAACAAUAGAAAAGGUACUGUAAUGGUUAUAGAUCCUUGUAAUUAUUGAUCUUCAACGAGGAAUUCCUAGUAAGUAUGUGUCAUCAUCACGCACUGAUUACGUCCCUGCCCUUUGUACACACCGCCCGUCGCUCCUACCGAUUGGGUGAGCCGAUGAAACUCUCGGGUGUAGGCUAUUCAUAGCCCGCAGAAGAGAUUUGAAUCGUAGCGCUUAGAGGAAGGAGAAGUCGUAACA
rnacentral:rRNA from 1 species